UGCCAGCCGCCGCGGUAAUACGGGGGAUGCAAGCGUUAUCCGGAAUCAUUGGGCGUAAAGCGCCUGUAGGUUGUUUAAUAAGUCUGUUGUUAAAGCCUAGGGCUUAACCCUAGAAAAGCAAUGGAAACUACUAGACUAGAGUAUGGCAGGGGUAGAGGGAAUUUCUAGUGUAGCGGUGAAAUGCGUAGAUAUUAGAAAGAACACCGGUGGCGAAAGCGGCUUCCUGGAUCUGUACUGACACUGAGGUGCGAAAGCGUGGGUAGCGAACAGGAUUAGAUA
rnacentral:rRNA from 1 species